rnacentral:rRNA from 1 species
UACGAAGGGGGCGAGCGUUGUUCGGAUUUACUGGGCGUAAAGGGCGCGCAGGCGGUUCUGUUUGUCGAGUGUGAAAGCCCCGGGCUCAACCUGGGAACUGCGCUCGAAACGGCGGAACUAGAGUUCGGGAGAGGAGAGUGGAAUUCCCAGUGUAGAGGUGAAAUUCGUAGAUAUUGGGAAGAACACCGGUGGCGAAGGCGGCUCUCUGGACCGAUACUGACGCUGAGGCGCGAAGGCCAGGGGAGCAAACGGG